rnacentral:rRNA from 2 species
UUAAUUUGAGAGUUUGAUCCUGGCUCAGGACGAACGCUGGCGGCGUGCCUAAUACAUGCAAGUCGAACGAACUCUGGUAUUGAUUGGUGCUUGCAUCAUGAUUUACAUUUGAGUGAGUGGCGAACUGGUGAGUAACACGUGGGAAACCUGCCCAGAAGCGGGGGAUAACACCUGGAAACAGAUGCUAAUACCGCAUAACAACUUGGACCGCAUGGUCCGAGUUUGAAAGAUGGCUUCAGCUAUCACUUUUGGAUGGUCCCGCGGCGUAUUAGCUAGAUGGUGGGGUAACGGCUCACCAUGGCAAUGAUACGUAGCCGACCUGAGAGGGUAAUCGGCCACAUUGGGACUGAGACACGGCCCAAACUCCUACGGGAGGCAGCAGUAGGGAAUCUUCCACAAUGGACGAAAGUCUGAUGGAGCAACGCCGCGUGAGUGAAGAAGGGUUUCGGCUCGUAAAACUCUGUUGUUAAAGAAGAACAUAUCUGAGAGUAACUGUUCAGGUAUUGACGGUAUUUAACCAGAAAGCCACGGCUAACUACGUGCCAGCAGCCGCGGUAAUACGUAGGUGGCAAGCGUUGUCCGGAUUUAUUGGGCGUAAAGCGAGCGCAGGCGGUUUUUUAAGUCUGAUGUGAAAGCCUUCGGCUCAACCGAAGAAGUGCAUCGGAAACUGGGAAACUUGAGUGCAGAAGAGGACAGUGGAACUCCAUGUGUAGCGGUGAAAUGCGUAGAUAUAUGGAAGAACACCAGUGGCGAAGGCGGCUGUCUGGUCUGUAACUGACGCUGAGGCUCGAAAGUAUGGGUAGCAAACAGGAUUAGAUACCCUGGUAGUCCAUACCGUAAACGAUGAAUGCUAAGUGUUGGAGGGUUUCCGCCCUUCAGUGCUGCAGCUAACGCAUUAAGCAUUCCGCCUGGGGAGUACGGCCGCAAGGCUGAAACUCAAAGGAAUUGACGGGGGCCCGCACAAGCGGUGGAGCAUGUGGUUUAAUUCGAAGCUACGCGAAGAACCUUACCAGGUCUUGACAUACUAUGCAAAUCUAAGAGAUUAGACGUUCCCUUCGGGGACAUGGAUACAGGUGGUGCAUGGUUGUCGUCAGCUCGUGUCGUGAGAUGUUGGGUUAAGUCCCGCAACGAGCGCAACCCUUAUUAUCAGUUGCCAGCAUUAAGUUGGGCACUCUGGUGAGACUGCCGGUGACAAACCGGAGGAAGGUGGGGAUGACGUCAAAUCAUCAUGCCCCUUAUGACCUGGGCUACACACGUGCUACAAUGGAUGGUACAACGAGUUGCGAACUCGCGAGAGUAAGCUAAUCUCUUAAAGCCAUUCUCAGUUCGGAUUGUAGGCUGCAACUCGCCUACAUGAAGUCGGAAUCGCUAGUAAUCGCGGAUCAGCAUGCCGCGGUGAAUACGUUCCCGGGCCUUGUACACACCGCCCGUCACACCAUGAGAGUUUGUAACACCCAAAGUCGGUGGGGUAACCUUUUAGGAACCAGC